rnacentral:lncRNA from 1 species
UUUUUCAAACGCUUUCUCUCGUCUGAUUUAUUAUUUUUGCGGCUGAUAUAACUACGCUAUUCUUAAAGAGAUUUCGAUGGACAUUAUCUUCCUUGCUGCCUCCUUGAAGAUAAACCUGUCACCCCCUUUCUCGUCGCCUAUUUCUCUUGCGAAAUUCCACAACAACAGAUCCUACCUUUCUCGUCCUCGUCGCCUUCCCUCCUUCUUCGGUGAAUUCACAUAUCCUUCUUUUUUUGUCCUCAUUAUCUUCUACGGAGACACAUCAAAUUCAAAUUUCACACCAUGAUUUAUGAACUUCCUGAACUUAUAUAUGUAAAAUAGUGUCUAAAAUGAGUGGAUCCACAAGCCAGCAAUGCCUUGGUAACAUGUGCAAGUUUUGGUAAGUAAACAAAGAUGAAUAAAUGCCAAAGAGAUUUUACGUUAUACAUUUCGUUAUUCAUUUCACCUUAUACUUUUGAGGCAGAUCCCCAUCUUCAUCGUCCUUGUCGCCUUCUCUGGUGACACAUUGAAGACAAAUCUCACAUGCUUCAAUUUGUAUAUAUUUAUACA